AUGCCGUUGCCCCCGCGCCGUCGCCAUCGUCGUCGCCUCCGUCUCCACCCCGCCGCCCCCGUUGUCUCCGCCUCCACCGCCGCCAUCCCUGUCGACGUCGACUCCGUCUCCAUCCCGCCGUCCCUGUCGCCUCUGCCUCCACCCUGCCGCCCCUAUCGUCUCCACCCCGCCGCCCCCAUCGUCUCCACCCCGCAACGCCCCCUCGCUGUCUCCUGUCGCCGUCGUUUCCCUGGUUGGGAAGCCCUUGCAACUGCUUACAAGAUGGAAGCUGGGGAGAGAGCCACGUUCUACCUUGACUACGUUCGUGAAGAGAUCAAGGUCUACUAUAGGCCUACUGACAGCGACGAUGGUUCACUUACUCCGGACUAUGACCCUGACUCCGCCCGCUAA
rnacentral:rRNA from 1 species